GGCGAACGCUGGCGGCGUGCCUAAUACAUGCAAGUCGAGCGGAAUGAUGAAGAAGCUUGCUUCUUCUGAUUUUAGCGGCGGACGGGUGAGUAACACGUGGGCAACCUACCUUGUAGAUUGGGAUAACUCCGGGAAACCGGGGCUAAUACCGAAUAAUCCAUUUUGCUUCAUGGCGAGAUGUUGAAAGACGGUUUCGGCUGUCACUAUAAGAUGGGCCCGCGGCGCAUUAGCUAGUUGGUAGGGUAAUGGCCUACCAAGGCGACGAUGCGUAGCCGACCUGAGAGGGUGAUCGGCCACACUGGGACUGAGACACGGCCCAGACUCCUACGGGAGGCAGCAGUAGGGAAUCUUCCACAACGGACGAAAGUCUGAUGGAGCAACGCCGCGUGAGUGAAGAAGGUUUUCGGAUCGUAAAACUCUGUUGUAAGGGAAGAACACGUACGAGAGUAACUGCUCGUACCUUGACGGUACCUUAUUAGAAAGCCACGGCUAACUACGUG
rnacentral:rRNA from 1 species